rnacentral:rRNA from 1 species
CCUACGGGAGGCAGCAGUAAGGAAUAUUGGACAAUGGAGGCAACUCUGAUCCAGCCAUGCCGCGUGAAGGAAGACGGCCCUAGGGUCGUAAAGCUCUUUCGCCUGUGAUGAUAAUGACAGUAGCAGGUAAAGAAACCCCGGCUAACUCCGUGCCAGCAGCCGCGGUAAUACGGAGGGGGUUAGCGUUGUUCGGAAUUACUGGGCGUAAAGCGCGCGUAGGCGGAUUGGAAAGUUGGGGGUGAAAUCCCGGGGCUCAACCCCGGAACUGCCUUCAAAACUCCCAGUCUAGAGUUCGAGAGAGGUGAGUGGAAUUCCGAGUGNACAGGUGAAAUUCGUAGAUAUUCGGAAGAACACCAGUGGCGAAGGCGGCUCACUGGCUCGAUAC